rnacentral:rRNA from 1 species
UACGUAGGGUGCGAACGUUGUCCGGAAUUAUUGGGCGUAAAGAGCUCGUAGGCGGCCUGUCGCGUCGGAUGUGAAAGCCCGGGGCUUAACCCCGGGUCUGCAUUCGAUACGGGCAGGCUAGAGUGUGGUAGGGGAGAUCGGAAUUCCUGGUGUAGCGGUGAAAUGCGCAGAUAUCAGGAGGAACACCGGUGGCGAAGGCGGAUCUCUGGGCCAUUACUGACGCUGAGGAGCGAAAGCGUGGGGAGCGAACAGG